rnacentral:ncRNA from 2 species
AACAUAGAGGAAAUUUCACGU